UCUUCCGCAAUGGACGAAAGUCUGACGGAGCAACGCCGCGUGAGUGAUGACGGCCUUCGGGUUGUAAAGCUCUGUUAACCGGGACGAAAGGUCUCCUUGCGAAUAGUUAGAAGAAUUGACGGUACCGGAAUAGAAAGCCACGGCUAACUACGUGCCAGCAGCCGCGGUAAUACGUAGGUGGCAAGCGUUGUCCGGAAUUAUUGGGCGUAAAGCGCGCGCAGGCGGAUUGGUCAGUCUGUCUUAAAAGUUCGGGGCUUAACCCCGUGAUGGGAUGGAAACUGCCAAUCUAGAGUAUCGGAGAGGAAAGUGGAAUUCCUAGUGUAGCGGUGAAAUGCGUAGAUAUUAGGAAGAACACCAGUGGCGAAGGCGACUUUCUGGACGAAAACUGACGCUGAGGCGCGAAAGCCAGGGGAGCGAACGGG
rnacentral:rRNA from 1 species